rnacentral:tRNA from 1 species
GCCUGAGUAGCUUAGUUGGUUGAGCAUCAGACUUCAGCUCAGGUCUGAUCUCGGGGUCUGGGAUCGAGCCCUACUUCAGGCU